GGAUGCGAGGGCGAUCUGGCUGCAACAUCUGUCACCCCGUUGAUGGCCAGGGUUGAUUCGGCUGAUGGGGCUGGCUAGGUGGUGUCCCCUCCUCCCUCACCGACCCAUGUGCGUCGCUCCCGAAGCUGCGCGCUCGGUGGAAGAGGUGGAGGAGGAGGACCUUCCCCCCAGAGGGAGGACCGGUCUUCGGUCAAGGGCGUACGAGUAGCUGCGCUCCCCUGCUCGAACCUCCCAGCAAGCGCUCGAAGGGCCGAGGGCAGGCGCCCUGUGUGUGUUCCCUCAGAGCGGCCCGUUUGUAUUUUGGUAAAGCACCCAUAGCAUCACUCACCUGCUAACCCUUUG
rnacentral:snRNA from 1 species